UACGGAGGGUGCGAGCGUUAUCCGGAAUUACUGGGUUUAAAGGGUGCGUAGGCGGCUGUGUAAGUCAGGAGUGAAAGUUUGCGGCUCAACCGUAAAAUUGCUUUUGAUACUGCAUGGCUAGAAUCAGGAUGAGGUUAGCGGAAUGUGGCAUGUAGCGGUGAAAUGCAUAGAGAUGUGGAGGAACACCGAUGGCGAAGGCAGCCCCCUGGGUCAACACUGACGCUCAUGCACGAAAGCGUGGGGAGCAAACAGG
rnacentral:rRNA from 1 species